rnacentral:rRNA from 1 species
CCUACGGGUGGCAGCAGUGGGGAAUAUUGCACAAUGGGGUAACCCCUGAUGCCGCGACGCCGCGUGGGUGAAGAAGUAUUUCGGUAUGUAAAGCUCUAUCAGCAGGGAAGAAAAUGACGGUCCCUGACUAAGCAGCCCCGGCUAACUACGUGCCAGCCGCCGCGGUAAUACGUAGGGGGCAGGCGUUAUCCGGAUUUACUGGGUGUAAAGGGAGCGUAGACGGCGGAACAAGUCAGAAGUGAAAACCCGGGGCUCAACCCUGGGAGUGCUUUUGAAACUGUUUGGCUGGAGUGCAGGAGAGGUAAGCGGAAUUCCUAGUGUAGCGGUGAAAUGCGUAGAUAUUAGGAGGAACACCAGUGGCGAAGGCGGCUUACUGGACUGUAACUGACGUUGAGGCUCGAAAGCGUGGGGAGCAAACAGGAGUAGAUACCCGGGUAGUC